rnacentral:rRNA from 1 species
CGACGUUAGAGGUGAAAUUCUUGGAUCGUCGCAAGACGCACUAGAGCGAAAGCAUUUGCCAAGUAUGUCUUAAUUGAUCAAGAACGAAAGUUAGAGGUUCGAAGGCGAUCAGAUACCGCCCUAGUUCUAACCAUAAACGAUGCCAGCCAGCGAUCCGCCGACGUUCCUCCGAUGACUCGGCGGGGAGCUUCCCCCGGGAAACCAAAGCUUUUGG